rnacentral:rRNA from 1 species
UACGACUACAUAUCAGGCAUAUCAAUAAGCGGAGGAAAAGAAACUAACUAGGAUUCCCUUAGUAACGGCGAGUGAAGCGGGAAGAGCUCAAAUUUGAAAUCUUCAAGGUUUUACCUUGACGAAUUGUAGUUUAAAGAAGUGUUUUCUGUUGGUGUUUUGGUAAAAGUUCUUUGGAAUAGGACAUCAUAGAGGGUGAGAAUCCCGUAUUUGACCAUUACUUCCAGCGUUGUGAUACACUUUCAAAGAGUCGGAUUGUUUGGGAAUGCAGUCCAAAAUGGGUGGUAAAUUUCAUCUAAAGCUAAAUAUUGGCGAGAGACCGAUAGCGAACAAGUACCGUGAGGGAAAGAUGAAAAGAACUUUGAAAAGAGAGUUAAACAGUACGUGAAAUUGUCAAAAGGGAAGCGUUUGACACCAGUGUUGUUUUCUCGAAAAUCAAUUAAAAAGAGUUGGAUUUUGUAUUGUUAAGACCUUAUCAGCUUACUGUACUUUUUUCUUGCUCUUUUUAAUGCACUUUUCGUUUAACAAGUCAACAUCAAUUUCUUUUGUUGUAAAAGGGUCAUUGGAAGGUGGCUUUCACUUCGGUGAAAGUGUUUAUAGCCUUUGACUCCUGCAAUCGGAGAGACUGAGGUCUGCAGCGUAGAUCCUUCUUGGAUUAGAUUCAUUUGUGCUAAGUUAUAGCUUUUCAUAGACAACUUGUUGACUAUGUUUAGUCUUGUAGCUUACUCGCUUAUGCUAUUUUACCUACGCUUAGGAUGUUGAACGCGCACAGAGUCUC